UGAGUGGAGCUUGCUCCAUGAUUCAGCGGCGGACGGGUGAGUAAUGCCUAGGAAUCUGCCUGGUAGUGGGGGACAACGUUUCGAAAGGAACGCUAAUACCGCAUACGUCCUACGGGAGAAAGUGGGGGAUCUUCGGACCUCACGCUAUCAGAUGAGCCUAGGUCGGAUUAGCUAGUUGGUGGGGUAAAGGCUCACCAAGGCGACGAUCCGUAACUGGUCUGAGAGGAUGAUCAGUCACACUGGAACUGAGACACGGUCCAGACUCCUACGGGAGGCAGCAGUGGGGAAUAUUGGACAAUGGGCGAAAGCCUGAUCCAGCCAUGCCGCGUGUGUGAAGAAGGUCUUCGGAUUGUAAAGCACUUUAAGUUGGGAGGAAGGGCAGUAAGUUAAUACCUUGCUGUUUUGACGUUACCGACAGAAUAAGCACCGGCUAACUUCGUGCCA
rnacentral:rRNA from 1 species